UGCUGUUUUCCUCACUAUCUUCACAAUGGU
rnacentral:piRNA from 2 species